AAGUCGUAACAAGGUUUCCGUAGGUGAACCUGCGGAAGGAUCAUUAUUGAAAUAAAUCUGAUGGGUUUGUUGCUGGUUCUCUAGGGAGCAUGUGCACGCCCUGUCAUCUUUAUAUCUCCACCUGUGCACCUUUUGUAGACCCUUCAAGGUCUAUGUUGCUUCAUUUACCCCUAAACAAAUAAUAGUAUGUUGUGCCUUUAAUGAAAUAUCUAUACAACUUUCAGCAACGGAUCUCUUGGCUCUC
rnacentral:misc_RNA from 1 species